rnacentral:rRNA from 1 species
CAGGCACGCAAAUUACCCACUCCCGGCACGGGGAGGUAGUGACAAAAAAUAACGAUACGGGACUCAUAUGAGGCCCCGUAAUCGGAAUGAGUACACUUUAAAUCCUUUAACAAGGAUCCAUUGGAGGGCAAGUCUGGUGCCAGCAGCCGCGGUAAUUCCAGCUCCAAUAGCGUAUAUUAAAGUUGUUGCGGUUAAAAAGCUCGUAGUUGGUUCUGCGUGCUACGCUGUCGGUUCGCCGCCUGCCGGUGUAACUGGCAUGCCGUGGCAUGUCCUGUCGGUGGCGUUCGGGUGCCUCGUCUAGGUGAGACCUCCGUUUCGUAAGGGAUGGGUGGUUAUUCAACCGGAGGUUUCCCCGUUCGCCUACUCUAUCCUACCUAGGUGCUCUUCACCGAGUGUCGAGGUAGGCCGACACGUUUACUUUGAACAAAUUAGAGUGCUCAAAGCAGGCUGAAAUUUCUGCCUGAAUAGUGGUGCAUGGAAUAAUAAAACAGGACCUCGGUUCUAUUUUGUUGGUUCUUAGGAACACGAGGUAAUGAUCAAUACGGACAGGCGGGGGCAUUCGUAUUGCGACGUUAGACUUGGCAAAUGCUUUCGCGGUGAAAUUCUUGGAUCGUCGCAAGACGCACAAGAGCGAAAGCAUUUGCCAAGUAUGUCUUGAUUGAUCAAGAACGAAAGUUAGAGGUUCGAAGGCGAUCAGAUACCGCCCUAGUUCUAACCAUAAACGAUGCCAGCCAGCGAUCCGCCGAUGUUCCUCCGAUGACUCGGCGGGGAGCUUUUUCCCGGGAAACCAAAGCUUUUGGGUUCCGGGGGAAGUAUGGUUGCAAAGCUGAAACUUAAAGGAAUUGACGGAAGGGCACCACCAGGAGUGGAGCCUGCGGCUUAAUUUGACUCAACACGGGAAACCUCACCAGGCCAGGACAUUGGAAGGAUUGACAGAUUGAUAGCUCUUUCUUGAUUCAGUGGGUAGUGGUGCAUGGCCGUUCUUAGUUGGUGGAUCGAUUUGUCUGGUUAAUUCCGAUAACGAACGAGACUCUAGCUUAUUAACUAGGCGUUUUCCGGUGCCCUCGUCACCGGCGACACUCAUUCUUCUUAAGGGGACAAGCGGCUUAUAGCCGCACGAGAUUGAGCAAUAACAGGUCUGUGAUGCCCUUAGAUGUCCUGGGCCGCACGCGCGCUACACUGAAAGAAUCAGCGUGUGCCUCCCUGGCCGAAAGGCCCGGGUAAUCCGCUGAACCUCUUGCGUGCUAGGAAUUGGGGCUUGCAAUUGUUCCCCAUGAACGAGGAAUUCCCAGUAAGCGCGAGUCAUAAGCUCGCGUUGAUUACGUCCCUGCCCUUUGUACACACCGCCCGUCGCUACUACCGAUUGAAUGAUUUAGUGAGGUCUUCGGACUGGCGGUAAUCCCUACCGACUUGUCGAUAUCGAUGAACGCUGGAAAGAUGACCAAACUUGAUCAUUUAGAGGAAGUAAAAGUCGAACAAGGUUUCCGUAG